CUAAUCUGCGCACGCCACGGUUUCCAUCGCUUCAUUCGGAUGAAGCGAUGGGAUUAAACGGGAAUCCGGUGAAGGGUGCUAUCUGCAUCCCAUUCCGGAGCUGCCCCGCAGCGGUGAAUGGAAACGACCUUCGUCAACAGCACUGGACCGGCCACGGUCUGGGAAGCGACGGACAGUAGGCACUCCGUGCAUUUGCACGGCGACGUCCAUCAGCCCGAAUACCGGCCCUGGCCGGGGGACACGA
rnacentral:ncRNA from 1 species